UCGAAAGAUGCGUCGUACUUCAAGUGUGCACAUGCACGUUUGCCGACACUCGGUGUGCUGCGUGUGUUCAGUCGCUCUGCCUUGGUGUCUUCCCUCUCCCUUUUACACCCCAACUGGCUUUCAGACAGGACGCACCGAGCCGAGCCGACGAGCCGCUUUCUCCAUUUAAAUCCUCGAAGCGCGGCACGGGUGAUGAUGCAUUUGUAGCUCGCAAUCUGCAAAAGAGCGUAAAUCAAAGUAAGAAAAGAAAAGAAGGAACUCGACUGACGAAGUGAAAGACACAAUGGAAGGAGUCCACGCUGGAGACGAGACCCUUAAAGCGGGAAUCUACUGCCUGGUGAAUACAGAGGCCCACCCGGCCGCUGAGUGCGAGGACAUGUGAAGAGCCAGGGGAGACCCCGAAACACAACGCGAAAGCAGGGAUGAAGCAGAAUGUUCGAAGAUGAAGACAAUGCUGUAUGUUUUGAGAGAAGAAUACGAUAAAGUAUUUUCCAAAUUCUCUCAUCUGUCGCACACUGGAUGUACAAGAGUUAAGCAGACUAAAGAAAUCUAAUGAAGAGAGCACAAAACCUUCCAUUGAGCUUUUCCCCCCAUAAGUGGGCCUCCACAAAGGCAGCCCCUUAAACAGCAGCCCUACAUUUCAUGCUGUCUGCACCUGGGAAUUUUGUUGCCAUGCUAAGUACUUUUAACACUUUUCAUUAAAAAUAUUUGUACUUCAUUGCAACCAGUUUUACUGGAAAUCCUUUCCAUGUAUUUCUGUCCAUUAACGUAGUGUGUGUCUGGUAUAAAAUAUGAGCCUAUGCUUUAAAAGAGUUACGUCAGGUCUUAAGACAUUCAGAAGUUGUCAUAAGAAAUUGUAACUUUUCAUUAAAAUGAAGUGAACAUGAAACAUUCUGUUAGUAUACUCCAGUCCAUGCAGGAGGACAUAUUUGAUGGUAGACUACAAGACUGUGUUUAUUUCACUGGACAUUGAUAAUCUUAUAAUUUGUUUUCUUUUCAGCUCUGCGGAGACUCAUAGUGCUUUUGUAACCUACGGUACCCUGAAGCCAAAAGAAAUGUGGAUGACAUUGUGAAUAACAAAGAGCAAAAAUAGCAUAUUAUCUGUUCUGCAGGAGUCUGAUGUCCAAGAUAGCCUGAGUCCACGAUUUAAGGCCAUCUAUAACAGUGUUACCUUUGGAGAUGUGAUGUAUAAAAGAAACAUGGAUUUUAAGAGGAAUUUUUUUCAGGUAAUUUAACUAACAGUGCCAAUUCAUGUUACCCAAUAGGUUUUCUAACACCUGGUGCUGACAGGUUAGAUUCCGAUUCAGAAAAAUAUAGGAAAGGGCGAAUGUUUAAUUGAAAGGAGCGCACUGCCCUUUUUAAACGUCUUUUAUUGUUUAAUUGUAUACAUAUAUUAACUAAAAAAAAUAUAUUAUACAAUAAAAGUUGAUUU